CCUACGGGAGGCUGCAGUGGGGAAUAUUGGGCAAUGGGCGCAAGCCUGACCCAGCGACGCCGCGUGAGGGAAGAAGGCCUUUGGGUCGUAAACCUCUGUUGUAUGGGAAGAAGGAAGUGACGGUACCAUACGAGGAAGUCCCGGCUAACUACGUGCCAGCAGCCGCGGUAAUACGUAGGGGACGAGCGUUGUCCGGAAUUACUGGGCGUAAAGGGCGCGCAGGCGGAUAUUUAAGUCAGCUGUAAAAGGCAUGAGCUCAACUCAUGUAUGCGGUUGAAACUGGGUAUCUAGAGUGCUGGAGAGGUAGGCGGAAUGUGUUGUGUAGCGGUGAAAUGCAUAGAUAUGACACAGAACGCCGAUUGCGAAGGCAGCUUACUAAGCCAUAAUUGACGCUGAGGCACGAAAGCGUGGGGAGCGAACAGGAUUAGAUACCCCGGUAGUC
rnacentral:rRNA from 1 species